rnacentral:hammerhead_ribozyme from 1 species
UCCUAGCUUACGAGUCCCAAAUAGGACGAAACGCGCGUUCUGGAU